UUGAGAAUUAUUUUUAUUUCUCUUCUCUUUCAAUUUCGGGAGUUACGCACUCGCACUUUCAGGUGGUUAUGACUGCAACUGCUGUAGCGGAUUUAUCGACCACUUCCACUCGGAACCACGAUUAUCGGCCCAUGCAGUGACGUCUCUCGUCCAUCGGAAAUUGACCAGUUUCAUGCAACAACAAAACAAACUGGUCCUGGUUAGGCUUCAUUUGGACUAUUGUGCCCAGUCUUGGGCUUCUUACCUCAAGAAGAACAUUGAAUUGUUUGAAUUGGUUCAAAGGAGGGUUACUAGGAUUAUACUUGGAAUGGAAAUGUUGUCAAACAAGGAGAGGUUAAGAUUUCUGAAAUUUUCCCUCAAAAGUUGAAGAGAAAGAGGAAAUCUGAGUGAGAUUUAAGCUUAAGAUGAUUAAAAUAAUUAAUAGUAUUAUGCAUCGUCUUUUUAAACAACAUAAAUUUAGCUCCUUUGUAAUUAGAUAUUCACAAUAAGUUUAUCUCAAUAAAAUCCUGAUACCAAACAAA